rnacentral:lncRNA from 1 species
UGUAUGUACAUGAAUUUGUUGAAAUAAAUAGAAACUCUCACUUUACAAACUCACAUCAACAGAAUGCUAGUUGCCCAUUCCUGUAUUCAUAAAUAUAUUGGAGGUGUAACAACAGCCAGCCUAGGCCUAGUUUGGAUACUCUAGUAACGAGUGGGAUUGGAGUGGAUUGAGAUGUAUUGAGAGAGUAUUUGAUCUAUUAGGGAUUUACACCCUCUCCAAUCCCUUCAAAACACUCUAAUCCCAAAGUAUCCAAACUAGCCCCUAGGAGUUUUUUCGACUUGUGAAACUAGGGGAAAUACCGAUACAAGUUAGGGAAUACCAAAAACAGCCCCUACUGGUGACGAAGCAUUGGAGGGAGGCGAUCUAGGUACAAGCAGGACAGGGUAUCACAAAUUCAGGGCUAUACA